rnacentral:tRNA from 1 species
GAGAGAGGCUCGCAGCAAUGAAGACUGCUAAUCUUCAUGACCUAGGUUGAACUCCUGGGCUCACUCG